ACUUGGUCCAUGCCUUCUGAGCAGCCCUGUGAGUAAAAAGAAGAGGAGGAAAAGGACUUGUCUGGGAUGAAAUGAGAGAUACCAGCUAUGGUUACCUCACGAAAAGGACUGGAAACACCCUGAGUCCCCUGGCCAUGCCUUAGGCUGCAGUCAGGAAAUUUUUCUGAUACAUCCAGUUUGUAGGACCUGAACACAUCAACCAUAGCAGCCUAUCCCUUCCUGGUGGUGUGAUCACAAGCCAGCCUGAUGCCUCCAUCUCCAUGCUAUCCUGCUUUAUCCAAAGCCAGCCAGUCAACUGUACUUUUGCCAUGUUACUUUUUGCACGAAGCCUAAGAAGGCAAGGAAGGGCACCGAUUUCCUCUGUCCCUAAGAUCAGUUGAAUUACUGUAUUAAUAUUCAUCCCCCCCAUAGAAAAAAGACACACAUUCCUCCCCUCAGACUGACACACAAAAGUCUAAGACAAUCUGGAUUGCCAAGAGUUGAAGUACAUGCAAGUUCAGUCUUACUGACCAAAGAUCCAAAGUUUAUCAGCUUCAGAAUGUUUUUUUGUUUUGUUUUGUUUUGUUUUGAGGACACAACCUCCAGCUUCUGGGAAACUUCAGAUUUAUGGGUCACACCAGAAAUGCGUAGUAAGGCAAAUUCAUAUCUCCAACUUACUCUGCCUAGAUAUUGACAGCUUCAAAGACAUACAAUGCACUCAGCUUUUCCUUCCUCAGUUCUGAAUUCUGGUGUGCCAAGGGAAGUUUCAUCCAGUCCCUUCUGAAUCAGCCAUUUCCUCCUGAUCCAGAAGAUGUUGUGGGAGGUUGGGCCCAAACACCAUUUACUGAUGCUAUAAAUCAGGCUGAGGCUUCAGCAAACAGGGAAGCUGCAAAGGAACAGCCUUUUAUAAUGCAAAUCUAUCUAGCAGUGAAAGAAAAAGAGAGAAGAAAGGCACUCAGGACACAGGGAGCAGCAGAACUGCUUCUGAAGAGCUUUUCAGUGUUUUCCAAGAGGCAUCAGCGGCUCUUUAAACUGAAGCUUCCAGAUAAGAGAUUUUAAAAGGUCGCUUCUUUGUGAGGCAAGAAACAGAGAAGGGGGAGAGGAAGGGAGUCCAUCCAGGAUGCCUUUUUUUUUUUUUUCUAACAAACCUCCAUAUCUUCUUUUUCAGUGGUAACUGAGCCUGGCAGAGAUAGGCACUUUGGGCCCCUGUGUUUGGUUAACAAUAUCUCCAUUUGACAAUUCAGCUCUUGCUAAGAGGAGACAGGUUUUGGGGUCACCGGCUGUCUCACAUGUGGGAGCUCGAAAAUCUAUUCCAGACGUGCUGAGCAGUGCAAGGUUUUACUACCAGUGGACUUUAAAGGUAGGACAACGGCAUAGAAAGAAAAAAAUAACAUCACAGGCAAAAUUGGCUAUGGCUGCUUUUUAAUUGGACAAUACAAUUUAGUUUGAACUAAUUUUGGCAGCAAAUAAAAUGUUAUACUAUGAUAAAAGAUUCUUAGAACCCCAGCAAGAAGUUCUUAUUACCGAUUGCACUGGCAUUGUAACUGGAAAAAGGAAGUAUUUAGAGACAGAAACCUACUUAGCAAAGCAAUCAAAAUUCAUCUUUGCUCUCCUUUUAGCAUAAGGAAAACUUAUUUUCUUUUGAGCAAGUGGUGUGAGUUGAAAGAGAAUUACACGUGAAAUGAAAACACAAAGAAAUGUACACCCUUCCUGCCUACCUGCAGUCUCAGACUCUCUCACAGGGGCUGUGAAUUACCAGGAAGCCCAAGGCUGUGCUGCAAAUCCAAGAAAUCAAAUAAUGUCCAGCAGAGGUGAGGGAGCAGGGGCAGAUGAUGGAGGAGAGCACACCCACCUGGCUGUAGCUUUAUUCUGACCAUACCCUCUGGGGUGGUAUUUCAGGUGAGUUAACUAACUCAGCAACAAUGAAUUUCCACCUCAUUUCACAUUCAUUUGGGUGAAUGACCCACCUCAUUUCACUCUAGGUUGCCAACUGCUUCAGGAUCAUUAAAUCCAGCCACCAACCUGACCCACCAAGUCCCAUCACUGUAUCACAUCCCUUAGCGCCAUGUCCACCCCUCCAGGGACAGGGAUCCACCAGUUCCCUGGGCAGCCCAUUCCAGUGCUCAACCACCCUCUCCAUGAAGAAACUGUCUUGUCUCGUAGCCUUUUCAGUUGGGCUGCCUCAAGAAAUCAGUGGACACACAGAACCAUGUCCAGAACCUGAUGCAUCUCCAUCGCCUCUGAUAAUGGAGAAGAAACUGUUUGAAAGCCAAAGGAAGGUUGAGGUGGUGUAUUUGAAGAUGAUGUGCUGGACUAUAGCACCGCUGUGCCCUUGGCCUUGCCCUUACAUAGUUUUCUGGGAUAAAGAUAAGACCCCUCUGGCCAGCAAGAGGGUUUCUGGUGGAUGUUCAGUGGCAACUUCAACUUGUCAGUUUUUCCUUUGGCUGAAAUGAAACUUCUUGAGAAUUUUCAGAAGCUACUGCUGGGUCGGGAAGGAGACGACAGCAGGAAUCAGCAUCAACAGUUCUUGCGGUGGGUCUCAAGGGAUUUUCAAAUCCCCUUGGUUUAAAAGAUAUAUAUACAUGUAUAUAUAUUGUAAAAAAGCCAAUGCUUCUCUGUUGUUAGGUGCCCCAGCUGAUUCCAUGUUUGUCUGAUUUUGUAGUAGUCAUUCAAUAUAUCUGUCCCAAAUCUUUGCAUGAUUUAUUGGGUCAUUGCAGAUACUUUGGAAGGUUUAUGGGGAGAGCAGCAAUGUAGCCUGUGGUACUGCAGUAGGUAAUAACCAUAUCUGAAAGUGGAGCUGACAGCACAUGAGGAAAGACAUUGCUGGCUGAACUAAAGAGCAGAUCAAUUCACACACCACAGUCAUUCCCUGGGAACUCCAGUUGCUUCAUCCACUGAGGUGUGAGAAGUUCCUCCUCUCCUUCAGGGCCAUUUCCUAGAGGACAAAGUCAUUGGAACAGCGAAGUCUGCUAAGAGACUCAUUCACCAAGAAGCAGGAAUUAACAAACAGGAAAGCACCAAUAAACAAAGGUGAGGUGGGCUCUUCUACUAAAUUCAGCUCUAGCCACCUACAUUCCAUGUCAACAGUUUAAGCCAGAAGAAAUAAAAACACACCUUGAGUCAUUUCACAGGAUCUCCUUGAAAGUUUUUCCUUAAUUUACAGAGAUAGAGAAAAUUUAAAAUAUAAAGCGGAAUGGUGUAAAUAUUAAUUCAUCCCUGAUAUUUCUUCUAAUUAGGCAAACUAGCACUAACACCAGUUCUUUUCAUUAAGGAGGACAAGACAGGAGCAAUGCUGUGUGCAAGCAUGGGUGUGCGCUUGUGCAGAGGGUCAGGGGCACAUUACAUCCAAGACCAAGGACAGGAGCAAGGAAGGACCUUCCUGGAUGUCUCUGAAUGCCUUGGGCACAGGUGACAGCCGCCCCGUGACACGUCUGUUUCAGGGACACAACUGCUCAGCACAAACUGUGGUAGUGCUGGUUUUGAGGUAGAAAUUGGCCUCUUGGAAAAUGGGCUAGCACCUCAGGUAGAAAUACGAUGGUGACCCUCCAGCACUGUGCUGAAGGCUAACUAACCACCAACAAGGCUUGCUUUUUUCUCCACGUACCUCCCCAUUUCCCUGCUUCUUGUCGCUCUCCACUCAGUGUUUCUCUUUCUUUGUCUCUGCUGUGUCUUUCACCACCUAAGGUCUUUCCCCCAGCCCUCCCUGCCCUCUCCAGCUCUGCACCCUUACUCUCCCCUUUAGAACAGGAACGCUCACUCCCAUAUCUCACAUUACUUUGCCCCAGGCUCCCUCCUGCUUUUCUUCAGCUUUUUCUGUUCCCUUCCUACCCUCAGCAGCAGCCCUCCACCACAAGGACAUGAAUCAAGCCUCACUAAAGCAGGAGAGGGACUCUAUCAGGACAAGGAGUAAUGGAUUAAACUGAAAAAGAGUAGAUUUAGUUCAGAUAUAAGAAAUUCUUUACUCAGAGGGUGGUGAGGCACUGGAACAGACUGCCCAGAGAAGCUGUGGAUGCCCUAGCCAUGGAGGUGUUCAAGGCCAGGCUGGACGGGGCUUUGGGCAACCUGAUUUAGUGGGAGGUGUCCCUACCCAUGGCAGUGGGGUAGAAUUAGAUUAUAAGGUCCCUUCCAAUCCAAGUCAACCUAUCUAUAACCUUCUAAGAUUCUCCUCUGGUCUCUUGACCAGAUAAAGAAAAACAAGGAAAGAAGCAUAGAAAAGAAACAGUGGUACAUGUGUCUUCAAAAGUCAAUUUAAUUUAUUCUGCAACAGAUAAUGAAUGCUAGAAAACCCUAAUGACCCCUGAGGGCAGCUUUCAGACUGCUCUGGAGUCUUUGUGUUGUAUUUUUCUGUAUUCCGCUGUGUUUGGAUGUUUUAUUCUAACACAACAAAUAUAAAAAGCCAAUUUACUGCAGGCAUUUGAAAAACCAAGUGUUAAAAAAAAUUGUUGCCUUUACUCUGCAUUAGUUUGGUACUAUUACAGGGUAGUCUGGCUCUCAGCAGAGUAACGCUGAGUACUGCAGUCUGCUGAGUCUUCAGACAUGGGGGUUGUAAAACCAUCUCAUGGUCUAAGGUCAGGCAUCUCCCAAACAGGGCUUUUGUGGAAUGAUGGUGUUGGUAUGAGAAAUAUGUGACUUGCUUGAGGCAGACAAGAUCAGCAGCAAAUCUACCUGCACUGUCAGGAAGUAAUGACUUGGUCAAGGGUGAGUGAAGGACUAGUGAUUUUAUCACUGCCAUAAGACUUGUGGUGCUUCAGAGGAGGAAUACAGCAGAAGCGUCUUUCUCCAAAGGAAAAAAAAAAAAAACACAAAAUAAAAAAAUAAACUCCAAUGUGCCUCACUCAUCAUUAUUCAAGAUCACACAUGUCAGAAUAACAAAUCACAUCUGGGUCAGCAAACCAUGAGCUUGAGCAGAAGAGAGGAGAGAGUCAUUUGUGGUAAGUGAAAACAGAAACAUGACCAGAAGAGACAGAGACGUGGGUUAGCAAACAGGCCUGCUGGCACAGCCCAGUGGUGAGAACAAUGAAACCCAAAUGUCUCAGUGACCAUGGAAUGGAACGGAACGGAACAGUUCACUUGGAAGGGACCUUCAAAGAUCAUCUCAUCCAACUGCAAGAAAACAGGGUUAAAAUAAAACCCCUGUGUGAUUUUCUCCUUGUAGCUGGUAAUUUAACUGUAUGUAAAUAGAGCUUGGCAUCUUGUAGCAGCAGCUGCUGCCAGAAGGUAGAAUAUUUCCCCAGCAGUAGCCAGAGGCUGGUGGUACAGUGCAAGGACAUGGCAGUCUGGAGAGGCCAACAACCACAUGCCAGUUGCCAUCAGCCCCUUUAUGGCUCAAGGGCACCCCAAGGCUGCACCAGAAGUGGGGCUGCAGAGAGGGGAGGGAGUGUUGGAAUAAAACCUUUGCAUUGUGA